GAUGAACGCUGGCGGCGUGCUUAACACAUGCCAGUCGAACGGAAAGGCUCCUGCGUGCGGGGGUACUCGAGUGGCGAACGGGUGAGUAACACGUGGGUGAUCUGCCCUUCACUUCGAGAUAAGCCUGGGAAACUGGGUCUAAUACCGGAUAGGACGAUGGUUUGGAUGCCGUUGUGGAAAGUUUUUCGGUGUGGGAUGAGCUCGCGGCCUAUCAGCUUGUUGGUGGGGUAAUGGCCUACCAAGGCGUCGACGGGUAGCCGGCCUGAGAGGGUGUACGGCACAAUUGGGACUGAGAUACGGCCCAGCCUCCUCCGGGAGGAAGCAGUGGGGAAUAUGGCACAAUGGGCGAAAGCCGGAUGAAGCGACGCCGCGUGGGGGAUAACGGCCUUCGGGUUGUAAACGCCUUUAGCUGGGGCCGAAGCGUAAGUGACGGUACCUGGAGAAGAAGCACCGGCUAACUACGUG
rnacentral:rRNA from 1 species